rnacentral:rRNA from 1 species
CGGACGGGUGAGUAAUGUCUGGGAAACUGCCUGAUGGAGGGGGAUAACUACUGGAAACGGUAGCUAAUACCGCAUAACGUCGCAAGACCAAAGAGGGGGACCUUCGGGCCUCUUGCCAUCAGAUGAACCCAUAUGGGAUUAGCUAGUAGGUAAGGUAACGGCUUACCUAGGCGACGAUCCCUAGCUGGUCUGAGAGGAUGACCAGCCACACUGGAACUGAGACACGGUCCAG